rnacentral:rRNA from 1 species
UACGAAGGGGGCUAGCGUUGUUCGGAUUUACUGGGCAUAAAGGGCGCGUAGGCGGCUCGCCAAGUCAGGGGUGAAAUCCUCCGGCUUAACCGGAGAAGUGCUUUUGAUACUGGCGAGCUUGAGGGAGGUAGGGGCAGGCGGAACUUCCGGUGGAGCGGUGAAAUGCGUAGAUAUCGGAAGGAACGCCGGUGGCGAAAGCGGCCUGCUGGACCUCUUCUGACGCUGAGGCGCGAAAGCCAGGGGAGCGAACGGG